rnacentral:tRNA from 2 species
GCGACAAUAGCUCAUCCGGUAGAGUAUCAGUUUCCCAAACUGAAGGUGGCGGGUUCGAGUCCCGUUUGUCGCU